AGAAGAAGCAGAAGCAGAAGCAGCAGAAGAAGCAAAAGAAGAAGCAGCAGAAGCAAAAGUAGCAGCAGCACUAUAUAUCACAAAGAGGUGAAGAACUGCGGGAUUAUUUUAAACACAUGACCGAGGCUGCAGAGUCACCGUGUCUCAGUCCUCCUGUGAUGAGUAUGUGGAUCCGUAGAGAAGGGCCUCCGUCUGAAAUACUAAGUCCUACAAACCCUGAAGGAUCCAAACCCGGAGAAAAGACUUCGCAGGCCAGCAGAGAUGUUUCCUGACAGAAGAGCGAGGACUCCUCCCUGCUCCUCUGGUCCAGAGACUCUGGUGGAGGGACAUCCUCAGUUCCCUGUGCAGCUGCUCAGGCCUUUCUAACAUGCUCACCUAUAAAGAGACCUGGACCUGGACCUGGAGGAGGGCUGGAUGCCACCUGUGACCCUGCAGAUCCCAGCUUUGACACAUGCGUCUCCUUCGUCCUGGUGUGAAGAGGGACAGUCCCAGGACCAGCAGCAGCAACAGUGAGUCGGCUGUGUGCAGGCAGAGUCCUGGAGACGCCUGGAGAAGCCCGGCAGCAUCAGGACAGACUCUGCGUCCUCAGGAAGACGCUUCAGGAGACCCUGAGAGGACACUGUGUGGACAGUUUAUAUCAAAGUCUUGUCUUUGCUGCUCUGGGCCUCAGAUUUACCAGGUUUAUAUUUCUGUUUCAGCUGCUCUGAAUAAAGUGCUUUAUUUUGAA